CAAAAGUGAUGCUGUGGCAGUGUCUUGCCCAGACUUAUGAUAGUGGGGGCUUCCAUUCCUGUCUUUUGGAACACUUGCCCCUGGAAGUCUGAGCCUUCAUGUAAGAAGUUUGGCUACUCUGCUGGAGAGGCCUCCUGGAGAGUACCCAAGAAUCUACCAAAAGGAGGUGGAGGUUGGCUCACGCAUCAGGCAUGUGAGUGAAGCUAUCUUGGACCCUCCAGCCCAGUCUAGCUGCCUGCUGAAUAUCACUGAGUGACCCAGUUCCUUAGGAAAUCCCACCAUUGUCUGAUUGGGAAGGAAUGGCUUUCCCGACUGGUGCGACUAGGAAGAUCAUCCUCUGAAGGAAAAAACCCAGACGUUCUGUCUCCAAUAGAUUCCCAGUAUUCCCACCGUCCCAGCCUGUGGAGCUCCAUGCUUGUACCUUGUGCACUUUCUGAAUAACAAAGGUGCACUGGUUUUCGGCAGCACAGUGAGGACAGAAAGUAUUCCGUCUGUUUCAUUCAAGUGGAGUGAAAACUUGAAGAGCUGUGAGGUAAUUUACAGGUACUGACCAUAGCAUAAGUAAGCGGUCCUCUCUGCCAAGAUCAAGAACUGAAGCAAGUAGGAAGUAGCUGCCAAAAGUGCUGAGUCUAGGACCACACGGUUUCAACCCCAUCCACGCCGGACCUGGGGACAUUUGAUACUGU
rnacentral:lncRNA from 1 species